UACGAAGGGGGCUAGCGUUGCUCGGAAUUACUGGGCGUAAAGCGCACGUAGGCGGCUCUUUAAGUCGGGGGUGAAAUCCUGGAGCUCAACUCCAGAACUGCCUUCGAUACUGGAGAGCUCGAGUCCGGGAGAGGUGAGUGGAACUGCGAGUGUAGAGGUGAAAUUCGUAGAUAUUCGCAAGAACACCAGUGGCGAAGGCGGCUCACUGGCCCAGUACUGACGCUGAGGUGCGAAAGCGUGGGGAGCAAACAGG
rnacentral:rRNA from 1 species